rnacentral:tRNA from 1 species
GUGGUGUACGUGGUCAGCGCACUCGUUUAGAAAACGAGAGACGUAGGUUCAAAUUCUAUC